UUUGGCGGCAAUAGCGCGGUGGUCCCACCUGACCCCAUGCCGAACUCAGAAGUGAAACGCCGUAGCGCCGAUGG
rnacentral:rRNA from 1 species